rnacentral:rRNA from 1 species
GACGUAGGGCGCGAGCGUUGUCCGGAUUUAUUGGGCGUAAAGAGCUCGUAGGCGGCUUGUCGCGUCGUCCGUGAAAACCUGCAGCUCAACUGCAGGCUUGCGGUCGAUACGGGCAGGCUAGAGUUCGGUAGGGGAGACUGGAAUUCCUGGUGUAGCGGUGAAAUGCGCAGAUAUCAGGAGGAACACCGGUGGCGAAGGCGGGUCUCCUGG